rnacentral:sRNA from 13 species
AGGAGCUCUGGGCUGCAGCACUCUAUGUCGAACGGGUGUCCACGCUAAGUUCGGUAUCGAUAUGGUGUUCCUGGGGGAGCCCGGGACCACCAGGUUGUCUAAGGAGGGGUGAACCGGCCCAGGUCGGAAACGAAGCAGGUCAAAUCCCCAGUGCUGUCCAGUAGUGGGAUAAUACCUGUGAGUAGAUGCUGCAGUGCAGCCU